rnacentral:tRNA from 1 species
AUUCGCAUGGUGUAAUUGGCAGCCCGCUGGUAAAGGAUACCGGAGGUACAGGUUCGAUCCCUGUUGCGAGGA